CUUCGUUGCCUGUUUCCUUACAAUGCUCAGAAAAGUUAAAUCUACAGUGCCCAGGAAUCCAGCAACCCUUGAGAAGCAAAAUGAAGCUUAGAAAUUUUGAUCGAAGCAACAGAAGAUUUUAGUGAUAACAACAAGCUUGGAGAGGGAGGCUUUGGCCCAGUUUAUAAGGGAAUGACCACAGACGGCAAGGAGAUAGCAGUGAAAAAGCUGUCUGCAAGAUCUGCACAGGGAAGAAAAGAAUUUAUGAAUGAAGUGGAACUGGUGGCAAAUA